CUAAAAAUGGUAUGUAGGAAUUUCGGACGCGGGUUCAACUCCCGCCAGCUCCACCA
rnacentral:tmRNA from 1 species